UUUCAAAGGACUAAAACUACAAAUUAAAUUAAAUUAAAUAUCUACAAAUAUAAACUUUACAUGCUAUAUAGAGAUUAAAUCAUGUUCUAUCUUUUACAUGCAUAGUGAAAAAAAUAUGGCUAAAAUUCUUAAGUUAUUUUAUAUUUGGAUUUUUUGUAUUUCAUUAUUUCUUGCAACAUCAGAUGCUAUUGGAAAAUAUGCUAAACUUCCAAUAAAAUGUAAAGCUGACGCCGAAUGUCCAAAAACAACUUCCAACUUGAUAUCUAUUAAGUGCAUCAAUAACUCUUGUCAGGUUCUAUACGAAGAGGAUACUUUUUUACUCUAAAAUAAUAUUUUAUUUUAAGUUCAAUAAUUAUACGAGCACCGUAUAUUUUUAUUUAAGUUUUUAAUUUUAUAAAUAUUGUAUUUUUUAUUUUGUACUCUAAAAUAAUGGUAAAAAAUUAAAAGUAUUAAA